AGGCCUUGAACUUGAUGGGAACAUUAGCCUCUUUUAUGGGGCCAUGAAAACAAAAAUAUAGAAUUUUCGACCAGGGGAGAUGCUUGGCCACUGUAAGGGAGCCAUGUCGGAUAAGAACUGCUUUCUUUUGAGGCUUAAGAAGUCAAACCGGAAGAUCCGUUUAGAUGGGAGCAACAUCUCAACAUGGAACGAUUUGGUCAAUUUACAGUCACAACCAACCUACAUAAAUAAGAAAAUAUACUUUCGCCAGACGGACAAAGGGACGAAUAUGGCUAGAGUGACUAAAAAUGUAUUGGUGCCCAAAGAUAUAUUCUAAGGUUCAGGUGUUACAAAUGGAAAGACACAUUAAGUAUACACUCGUCCUAUGGUGUAGGAUAUAAAAAUAGGAUAUUUUUGUGAAAUAAGAAA